rnacentral:rRNA from 1 species
GCGCGAAAACUGCACAAUGUGGGAAACCACGAUGCGGGAAACCCAAGUGCCAGCGCUAUGCGUUGGCUGUCCUCCAGUGUUCGUAACUGGGGAAGAAAGUGCUGGGUAAGACGGGUGCCAGCCGCCGCGGUAAUACCCGCAGCACAAGUGGUGGUCAUUAUUAUUGGGCCUAAAGCGUCCGUAGCUGGCUUGUUAGAUGCCUGGGUAAAUCGAUGCGCUCAACGUAUCGAACUCCGGGUAGACCGGCAAGCUUGGGACCGGGAGAGGCGUGAGCUACUCGAGGGGUAGGGGUAAAAUCCUGUAAUCCUUCGGGGAGGACCAGUGGCGAAGGCGUCACGCUAGAACGGCUCCGACAGUGAGGGACGAAGCCCUGGGGCGCAAACCGG